rnacentral:miRNA from 1 species
ACAGGAUAUUGGGUAUUUCUUU